GUUACAGAAGACUCAUUUCUCAUCGCUAUUACUGGGUCCCACUUGAUUCUGACACUAGACCGGGACAGUGUCCAAGAAAUAUUACCCGGGGGUCUAUUUGGAGCUGAAGAGAGACAAUUGGGUGCUGAGAUUUUCACCAGAUGUCGCUAACAACUCAAGUGAUCCAUACAUACAAAGAAACCAAAACAAAUUAGGAUAUAUGUAAUAAUGUGAAAUGACACUGAGUGAAAGUACUGAACACAUGAAGACAGGGAGGAGCAAAAAGGAAACACAUGUAUACCAGAAUGGCUGGUGAUCUGGAAUCAACUGACAUGGAGACAAAACCAGAUCAAGGAACGCUAGAGCAUUCAAGACCAUUCCCCAAACUUUGUGGAAAUGUAAUCUUGUCCCACCACACUUUAUUUUCUAAAUUCUUCUUCCAGCACUCAGUAGCAUGAUCAGGCACUGAACAGGUUAACUGCUGGAACCUAAGUAUUCUCCAAUCCUGUCAGUUUUGGCAGAAAUGCAGAUCUAUAUUACAGAGGUCCUCACGCCGGAGGACAAAUUUCGUCUCUAUCAAGUAA